ACCCUGUAUUAGAAAUAUGCAACAAUUGUAACUCUUGCUUAUCAGUACUAUCGUUAUCAAACACGUUUCAUCUUCGCAAGUCGACGACGCCAAUGACCGAAUGACGCCAUCCAUUGCAAUCGUUUGAUCAUAUUGUGAUUUGUGAAUGUGAAAGUUGAAGUUAAUUAUUAGAUUGUUGAAGAAUUUCCUCGUUCAAUUCAGGGAUCAUUCUGUGAAAGUAUCGAGUCAAGUACAUUGUUGCAGAGCUCUGUCACGUCCUUCGAAGUUUUGAAUAUUAUUUUGAUAAAAUUAAGAGUAGGAGACGUCUUGGAUUGAAAAUAUUAAAUCUGCAGAGUGCAGAUACUUCUACUUCUUUGUCAUCGUUCUUCCGACCUUCGGCUUCUACUCCCGUGACACGGAAGAAGCACCAAAAGUGGCUUUAUCAAACGUCUUUGAUCAAAUAAUGUCAAUUUCACCAAGAGAGUUGGACUUGAUGGACAACUCAUAUCACGAUAAGUUCACAUCUGUAAAAUGGCGAAUAUGUGUAAUUCAAAAAUACGUAUAAUAUUGCAAUAUUAGCAUAUUGACCAUCUUGGAUCGUGGAAGCAUCGUUUCGUUUUGUUCAUCCGUGGGUGAGUGAAAAUUUCAUUCUACGUAUUUACUCGUACCUAGCACAUUUAUGUCAUAUGAAUGUGGAAUUGUGGAUAAAUAUUGUAUGGUUUCUGCAAGCAGCGAAUAAGUACAUAUUGGUAAUAUGCUAUAUCUACCUAUAAUAGACAAUUUAUUCUUAUUUCCAAGU